rnacentral:rRNA from 1 species
UACGGGGGGGGCAAGCGUUGUUCGGAAUUACUGGGCGUAAAGCGUGCGCAGGCGGUUCGUUAAGUCAGAUGUGAAAGCCCCGGGCUCAACCUGGGAACUGCAUUUGAAACUGGCGGGCUUGAGUGUGGCAGAGGGGGGUGGAAUUCCGCGUGUAGCAGUGAAAUGCGUAGAGAUGCGGAGGAACACCGAUGGCGAAGGCAGCCCCCUGGGCCAACACUGACGCUCAGGCACGAAAGCGUGGGGAGCAAACAGG